CGGGACGGGUGAGUAAUGUAUGGGGAUCUGCCUGAUGGCGGGGGAUAACUACUGGAAACGGUAGCUAAUACCGCAUAAUGUUUACGGACCAAAGCGGGGGACCUCCGGGCCUCGCGCCAUCAGAUGAACCCAUAUGGGAUUAGCUUGUAGGUAAGGUAACGGCUUACCUAGGCGACGAUCCCUAGCUGGUCUGAGAGGAUGAUCAGCCACACUGGGACUGAGACACGGCCCAG
rnacentral:rRNA from 1 species